rnacentral:rRNA from 1 species
AUCGAACGCUGGCGGCAGGCCUAACACAUGCAAGUCGAACGAGUGGCGGACGGGUGAGUAAUGUCUGGGAAACUGCCUGAUGGAGGGGGAUAACUACUGGAAACGGUAGCUAAUACCGCAUACCAUCAGAUGUGCCCAGGUGGGAUUAGCUUGUUGGUGGGGUAACGGCGCACCAAGGCGACGAUCCCGAGCUGGUCUGAGAGGAUGACCGGCCACACGGGAACUGAGACACGGUCCAGAGUCCUACGGGAGGCAGCAGUGGGGAAUAUUGCGCAAUGGGCGCAAGCCUGAUGCAGCCAUGCCGCGUGUAUGAAGAAGGCCUUCGGGUUGUAAAGUUCUUUCAGCGUGGAGGCGUUACCCGCAGAAGAAGCACCGGCUAACUCCGUGCCAGCAGCCGCGGUAAUUC